rnacentral:rRNA from 1 species
GAUGAACGCUGGCGGCGUGCCUAAUACAUGCAAGUCGAGCGAACGGACGAGAAGCUUGCUUCUCUGAUGUUAGCGGCGGACGGGUGAGUAACACGUGGAUAACCUACCUAUAAGACUGGGAUAACUUCGGGAAACCGGAGCUAAUACCGGAUAAUAUUUUGAACCGCAUGGUUCAAAAGUGAAAGACGGUCUUGCUGUCACUUAUAGAUGGAUCCGCGCUGCAUUAGCUAGUUGGUAAGGUAACGGCUUACCAAGGCAACGAUGCAUAGCCGACCUGAGAGGGUGAUCGCCCACACUGGAACUGAGACACGGUCCAGACUCCUACGGGAGGCAGCAGUAGGAUAUCUUCCGCAAUGGGCGAAAGUCUGACGGAGCAACGCCGCGUGAGUGAUGAAGGUCUUCGGAUCGUAAAACUCUGUUAUUAGGGAAGAACAUAUGUGUAAGUAACUGUGCACAUCUUGACGGUAACUAAUCAGAAAGCCACGGCUAACUACGUG